AUGAAAUUCAAUCCAUUUAUCACUAUAGACUGAAUCAAGAACCAUAAAGGACAUUUCAAUAAGCCUUCCCACAUUCUCAGGAGGAUUACAUUUUCCCUUCUUUCCAAAGAGCUAAGACAGAGUACGAUGUUCAAUCCAUGCCCAUCUGAAAGGAUGAUGAAGUUCAGUUGUGUGAGGACACUAUAAAGGUCAGCAAAUUGGCAAAGUAAUCCAGGUUUACAGGAUGAAAUAUGUCAUCUACAUUGAACAGGUGCGGUGGAAAAAAAGCUAAUUGCAAAACCACCCAUGUGGGCAUUCACCGCAGCAGGGCAGUUAUCACCAGGCUAAAGCUGGACAAAGAUGCAAAAAGAUCCUUGAACAGAAAGCCAAUUCUUGCCAAGUGGGAAAGGGAAAGGGAAAAUAUAAGGAAGAAACAAUCAAGAUGCAGGAAUAA
rnacentral:lncRNA from 1 species